UGGGGAAUAUUGGUCAAUGGGCGGAAGCCUGAACCAGCCAUGCCGCGUGCAGGAAGACGGCCCUACGGGUUGUAAACUGCUUUUCUGCGGGAAGAACGGCCCCUACGUGUAGGGGUGUGACGGUACCGCAGGAAUAAUGAUCGGCUAACUCCGUGCCAGCAGCCGCGGUAAUACGGUGGUUCCGAGCGUUAUCCGGAUUUACUGGGUUUAAAGGGUGCGUAGGUGGCUCCCUCAGUCAGCGGUGAAAUGUAUCGGCUCAACCGAUAACCUGCCGUUGAUGCUGGGGAGAUUGAGUUGUGUUAAGGCAGGCGGAAUGGGCGGUGUAGCGGUGAGAUGCUUAGAUAUCGCACAGAACGCCGAUGGCGUAGGCAGCUUGCCAAGCCCACACUGACGCUGAGGCACGAAUGCGUGGGGAUCAAAAA
rnacentral:rRNA from 1 species